GCGGGCGGCAGGGGAGCAGAGAGGAGGGGCGUGUGGGGGGGGACAGGAGGAAGGAGUAGUUACAUGAUCUCAGCCCCCAGCCCACCCAUGCGGCUGUCUGUAAAUCCGUGGCCCCUUCCUCUUGGCUCCAUCAAUGGUUCCGUCGGGCGAGGGGCAAGGUCCAGGACAUCGGCAGGUCCGGGGUGAGUGGCCUCGCCUUCUCCUCCUGUUCCGCCUCUGGGCCGUUGUCGCCCUCCUCCUCUUGCUCCGGAUCUGCCCGCGGCCGCGGACGCUGCUGUGGCGGCGGCGGCGGCGACUGCUCUUCGGCGUCCCGGUGUCUCCGGGGCGGGGGCUGCUCCGGCUCGUCCUCUGGCUGCUGCUCGCCGUCCGGCGCGGCCGCGACUCCCGGCUUCAUGAUCCUCCUCCUCCUCCUCCUCCUUCCCGGGGGGCCAGCCCUGAGCCCCCGCGCCCGGGCAGCGCUGCCAUGCAACCAGAGGCCAGGCAGGCGUAGAGGUGGGGGCGGCUGGGGAGUGAGGAGGGGGGAUGAGAAAAAAUGAAAUAAUACUAGUAGAAUAAUAAUUCAGUUCUCAAAUAAUCAGGAAAGAGUGCUUCUGGAGGGGUGGGGGCGGAGAAGGGCGGCUGCCAGGUCUUCACGGCAGCUCUGCCCCGGCUACCCCCACCAAGGGCAGCCUCGGCCGGCUGGCUGCGCCCCCACCUCCCCGCCCCUCCCUCCUCUCCGCUGCCUCUGGCUGGCUGGGCUCGCUGUUGCUACCUCUCCUCGCAGAUACAACGAGCUGCCAUGUUGUGAGCUGCACUAUGGAGAGGCCCAUGUGGUGAGGAACUGAGGACAGCUCCAGCCAACAGCCAGUGAGGAACCAAGGCCAACAGCUCACAAGGGACUGAAUCUUGCCAACAACCAUGUGAGUGAGCUUGGAAACAAUCCUUCCCCAGUGAAGCCUUGAGAUGACUGCAGCCCUGGCUGACAUCUUGAUUGCAGCCUCUGAAAGAACCUGAACCAGAGGACCCCACUAAGCUGUGCCUGAAUUUCUCACCUACAGAAGCUGUGAGAUAAAUCUAGUUAUCUUAAGCCCUCUGUACACUGUCACAGCCCUCACCCCCAGCACACGUACACAGAGACAUCUACUUCUCACCCGGAGUCUAUUUCCUGCACAUAAGCAUUUCAAGUAGAUAUCGGUAUGCAAAGCUUGGAAGAGACAAAGUUUUGGGAACCUCUCAUUGGACCUGAGGACUUGGUGGAGACUAAGAACUCACGAGAAGGAAAUGCUUCAGACAGGGAGGGAGAUGCGAGCAUCAUUUCCUUCCGUUUCCUCUUCUAGAAUUUAAGCUCCAUGGAGGAGGGAGUUGUUUUUCUGGUCCAUUUUGAUCCCAUGUGCCUGCGUCAGUGAUGGCAUGUAGUAGUGCUCAAUACAUGUUUGUUGAGUAAAGUAUGAGCAACAUUACAACGCCCUCUUAACCAGUAUCCCAGCCUCCUCCUUACCCAAGCCUUUCACUGAGCCACUAAUAAGGGGUCAUUUGAAAUGGAUUUUAAUUUUCUCUCCUAUUUCUGCUCCUGACUCAUGUCAUUCUACCCCCCCCUUCUUAAGGAGUUUCCAUUGAGCAGAAAAGUAUCCCCAAAUGUGAGAAGCACAUUAAGUUUUGGGGUAAUUUGUUACACAGGAAUUGGUAACAUACACUAAGGCACUGAGAAUAUCAGUCACUGUGCCCAGGCUUCCUGUGCCCCAAGGUACUCUACUGUGACCCCAGACAGAGAGCUUGAUCCUCCACAAGACAAUGCAAGUGUAAACGUGAGAGCUCACCAGGAAAGAGUAUUUUGGCAUGCUUAAUUGGUGGGCUGAACUUAAGACCGAGGAGAGUCCCUCUCAAGCCUGAGUUUGCCUUAAAGAUCGCCUUGUGUUAUUGUUGAAAGUGCAGGUGCCCAGGUGGACUCUCACCUCCAGAGAUUCUGACUUAGUGUAUCUAGCACAUGACUUGAGACAUGCGUUUUUACUAGUUCCCUGGGCAAAUCUGAAACAGGCGGCACUUGAGCUCCACCGUGGAGAGCACUGGCUUAGAAGACCAAGCUCAGAGCCAGAACUUCACCCUCUGGUUUCAGGUGCCACAUGAGUAGGGCUGGCCACUCCCUUGCUACGAGUUGAUAUUCUUCUCCAGAUAUGAGUGAGUAAAGAGCAAGUUCCAAAUCAAUAUCAAAAAGAGGCAACAGAGUGAUGUGGAAAACGUGCUGAGAGAGGUUUGUGCAUUCACCACUGGAGUCUGGACCACUCCUGGGGAUAGGGAGUAAGACGGAUGAAGGCUUUGCUCUCACAAUUCACAUCCUGGUGUGGAAAACAGAGGAGGAAACUGAGGCCCAGAGAGGGGAGAUGAUUAUCAAGGUCAUACAUUAACCAAGUGGCAGAGCCAGGACCAGAAGCCACGUCUCUUGACCAUUCAACCCAUGUUCAUCCUCCGUCACCUGGCUUUGGGUCCCAUUUUUGAAAUGGUCCAUGCAGAGACUGGGAACUUGGCCUGGCUUUCUUGAGGUGCUAGACAUCACUCUCUCAGCAUCCAAGUCAUAUUAGUGGUACCCAUGAGAACACAAGCUUUAAAAUCUUCUUUCUGGACAAACACCAGAUGAUUUCACUCAUACGUGGAAUAUGAACAAACCCACGGACAAAGAAAAGAGUUCAAUGGUUACCAG
rnacentral:lncRNA from 1 species